AACUGGCCUUACAAUUACCCUAGCUAAAGAUUAGUAUCUAGAUAUGCAGUCUUAAUUUUAUCUUAUCCAUUAUUUUUAUUUAUUCAGGACUUAUAGCAUGUGAUGAGGUAUCCUCCACAGGUAGAAGAUUUUCAUUGCAGUUCUUUCUUUUGGUGUUGAUGUUUUUCAAUAUGGAACUGGUGCUAUGAUGGCAUAAAAUAUGUCUAAAUCCUUAAGGUAAGUUAAGAGUCCUAUUAUAUGAAAGAUAAGUGGAAAAUAAUUUUUUUUUACAAUGUGGAAUAACCCAUCUUUGGCUAUAAGAGAUCAAUGCCUUAUGUGAACUGGGAAUAAAAGUUGUAUUCCUUACUUAUCUUCAUGUAGACUCCAGGAUUACCUCUGU
rnacentral:lncRNA from 1 species